rnacentral:rRNA from 1 species
CGGACGGGUGAGUAACACGUGGGUAACCUACCCAUCAGAGGGGGAUAACACUUGGAAACAGUGUGCUAAUACCCUGCAUAACCACGUUUAUGCCGCAUAGGCAUAACGACGUGAAAUGGCGCUUUCGGGUGUCAGCUGAUGGAUGGACCCAGCGGUGCAUUAGCUAGUUGGUGAGGUAACGGCUCACCAAGGCCACGAUGCAUAGCCGACCUGAGAGGGUGAUCGGCCACACUGGGACUGACACACGGCCCAGACUCCUACGGGAGUGCAGCAGUAGGGAAUCUUCGGCAAUGGACGAAAGUCUGACCGAGCAACGCCGCGUGACGUGAAGAAGGUUUUCGGAUCGUGGUUACUCUGUUGUUAGAGUAAGGACAAGGACCGUUAGUGAACCUGUACGUGCCCCUGACGGUAUCUGAACCAGAAAGCCACGGCUAAGCUACGUGCCAGCAGCCGCGGUAAUACGUAGGUGGCAAGCGUUGUCCGGAUUUAGUGGGCGUAAAGCGUAGCGCAGUCGGUUUCUUAAGUCUGUAUGUGAAAGCCCCCGGCUCAACCGGGGUAGGGUCUAUUGGAAACUGGGAGUACUUGAGUGCAGAAGAGGAGAGCUGGAAUUCCAUGUGUACGGUGAUAUGCGUAGUAUAUAUGGA